rnacentral:lncRNA from 1 species
UUGCAGAGGAAGUUUCUCUGGCAGUCAGCCUGCUCCCUCUACUUGUCUCUGUUGGUGGAGACCGAACACAAAGUGCAGUGACUCAGAAGCCUUUGAGAGGGUGACUGGGGGCCUGGCCACCGCAAGGCACAGAGGCAGUGAGAUGGAUCGACCCAAAACGACAGUGUGCUGGGGAAAGAAGAAAUCAAGGCAGAAGGAAGAAGAAAAUGAACUCCAAGAAAUUCUGCCCAGUGAGCCUCAACAGCCCAAAGACCGUUUUUCAAAAUUCAGUGGGUGGCUUAUGAAAGUCCCCAGGAAAAGAAAACCAGACACUGCUAUUCAUCAGAAAGAAACUCCCAAAGACUUCCAAAAGUUGGUACAGAAGGGGCAGUUCCUGGAAGCCUGCCAGAGCAUCUCGGAGUUGUCACAGGAAGGGCAGGACUGUGGUCUCCAGUACAAGGUUGUGGCUGAGAGCAUGUGGCAGGUCAUCAAGGAGGCUCUGGGAGGCAUUGGGUACAGCCAGAAGCUGGAGCUAAAGCUCCAGGCAGUGGUGGCCACUGUGGAGUGGGUGGAGGACAACCCCCAGAGCUGGGAGGCCAGCGCCCUCGAGGAUGGUGGAGUUGCUUUCUGGGGAAGUCAUCUGGAGAGGCUCCUGAGAACAGAUGCUGAGGACCAAUUGCCCACUAUGAAGCCAAGCACCCAGCUGCGCCCGUACCUGAAGGAGCUGGACAAAGCUGUGGGACACAGCCUAGGGUCCCAGAGGGCAGGCCGGAUGGGGGACCCCCUCUGGGAAAUCUACAGGACGUGUUUCCAGGAGGUCCUCCUCAGCCGCCUCUCCGAGCUCCCUUCCUCCUACAGUCACGACAGGGAAGCCUACUUUGAGCUGUACAACUGGGGCAAGACGACCUUGUUUGGGCAGCUGGGCAGGGAGAUGCUUCAGAGAGUAGGUCCCACCUCCCAGAAGUCCAUGGCCGGGAACCUCUUGGACUCAAUGAUGUUCAUUACCUGGAUGUUCCAAAUGCAGGAGAAGCUGGUGGGGCUGAUCCAGGAGGAGUUGAAAAAGUGUCUAGAAAAUGUUCUGAUCUGUGAUCAGAAAAAGUGGACCGAGUCUGCCUCCUCAGUGUUCCUUGAAAUCUACCAGCUACUGAAAGAAGCUGUAGAUGCAGUCCGACACAUUGGGCCAUCCGUCACCAGACAGGUUCAAGCCAUGGUUCUGGAAACAUUUUCAAAGUUUCUGGAAAGCUACAAGGAUAAGGCUGAAGUCUUCAUCCAGCAGAACACCAGUGACCACACCUUUCCCGAGCUGCAUGUGCUGGAAAACUGCUGCAUCCUCAGGAAGACAUGGUGGUGGCUGAGCAGGGCGCACGUUCCCUGGGCACGCUUGGACCCAGCUGUGCAAGGUGCCAUCAAAGUCAUUGAGGACCAUGGCCGGGACCACCUCCUGCCUCGAGUCAGAGCCCUGUGCCAGAGUCUGCUGAGUUGUCACUUCGGAGAGAAGAACAAGGAUCUGGUCCAAUCUCUGCGGUCCCUGUGGCAGAGCCUGGAGCACUGCCCCAACAUGCACCCUACUCCCACAUACGAGGGCCCAGCUUUGGACGAUCUACAGGAGUACAUCCUCCAGCUCAGUGAGAGCAGAGACAGACAGACUGUGGAUCAGUGGCUGGCCUCCUUCAGUGACAGUUUCCCUGGUUAUCUGAGCAGACAGGGCAGAUCCACGGCUGUGGAGGAGGAGACUGCGAUCAGGGGACGCUCCUCAUUCUGCUGCAGACUUCUCCAGAACUUAAGGGCCUGCUGGCACCGUUGCUGCCCUAGCAGACGUGGAUGUGAGCUCUAG